rnacentral:lncRNA from 1 species
GAACUGGCGGAGGGGUGGGCAGGCGCAUGCGCGCGCGCAGCUGAAACGCCGGCUGAUGAAACUGACAAAGGCGAGAGCGCGCAGCAGCCCACAGCAGCCGAGUUCGCGCCGCCGCCUGCCGUCCUGGUGAACACAAUCGAGCAAGGCAGUGAAGCAAACAUCAUUAGGUGGCUGGACUCAGACACAUCACGCUCCAGUUUGGGUUCCAAGGUGCUUCUCUCUGGAUUUUCACCUGCCUUGCCAAAAAUGAUUGAUUACGCUGGGCCAACUGGGUGUCCGGCAAUACCCAACAAAUGACUUUGGCCCCUAACAGCAGGUCUUGGCCAGACAGAAAUCAAUAUUUCACCAUUAAAAUCUAUCAAAGAAGAGUUAAGGCACCAUCUGUCCCUGCCGCCUCUCUAUGGUGUGUGAACAUUAAAUCCGACACUUGUACUACAUGGGUAAUCAAUAUAUAGUGGUUCACAGAUCAUUUGUGGUUCCCUUUUAGCAGUGAUGGAUGUCUGGAAUCGUUGUGAUUCAUUUUGUCAGACCAUUAAACAAGAUUCUGUCCAGUU